rnacentral:lncRNA from 10 species
GCCCCAAAUAGUGUAGCAUAUAUCUUCAUCACGCUUCAGUGGGAUUCAGACUAAAUAGAAGAAAUAUUUUAAAUUUCUUCUAGCACUACUCAACCUGGAAGUAAAUGGACCCAAUGUACAAAUCCCUUGAACCUUUGAUGACUUGGAACACCACCUCUGCCCUAUUUCACCAAUUGCCAUAAUGAAAUAAAAUGCUCCAAAUGGAAUCUGUUUUGGCACAAAACAUGAAGGAAACUAACUAGCAACUGAUAUUAUGGGUCCAUUGAUUCAAUAAUACUUUAUUGCCUUACUUAUGUAAAAUUGAUAUCACUUCCUCUUUCGCCUCAUUUUUAAUUGCAGAUUGAGGAACAGUUGACUUUGGAAAAGUUGCAUGAGUGGACUAAACCUGAGAAUCUCGAUUUCAUUGAAGUUAAUGUCAGCUUGC